rnacentral:misc_RNA from 1 species
AACGCACAUUGCGCCCCUUGGUAUUCCAUGGGGCAUGCCUGUUCGAGCGUCAUUUGUACCCUCAAGCUCUGCUUGGUGUUGGGCGUUUGUCCUGUCUCUGCACAGGACUCGCCUCAAAGCAAUUGGCAGCCGGCGUAUUGGCCUGGAGCGCAGCACAUUUUGCGGUCUCUGUCCAGCUACGGCGGCAUCCAUCAAGCCUCUUCUCACUUUUGACCUCGGAUCAGGUAGGGAUACCCGCUGAACUUAA